GAGUUUGAUCCUGGCUCAGGAUGAACGCUGGUGGUUUACUUAACACAUGCAAGUUGAACGAAUUUUUUUUUUUAAGUGGCGAAUGGGUGAGUAACACGUUAAAAUUUACCUUUCAGAGGAAAAAAACAAUGAGAAAUUACUGUUAAGGUUCCGUAUACUGCUAAAGUGAUAUAUUUUGAGAUGCUGGGAGAUAAAUUUGCGCUUGAUUAGCUAUUUGAGAGAAUAAAAUUUUCUCAAGGCAAUAAUCAAUAGCUGAUCUUAGAGGAUGAUCAGCCACAUUGGAAUUGAGAUACGGUCCAAACUCUUACGAGAGACAGCAGUGAGGAAUUUUCCGCAAUGAACGAAAGUUUGACGGAGUAAGACCACGUGGUGGAAGACGGCCUUUGGGUUGUAAACAUCUUUUCUUUAAAAAGAUAAAAGACGAUAUUAGAAGAAUCAACAUCGGCUAACUCUGUGCCAGCAGCCGCGGUAAGACAGAGGAUGUAAGCGUUAUCCGAAUUAAUUGGGCGUAAAGAGUCUGUAGGUCGUUUUUAAAGUCUUUUGUUAAAGAUUAAGGCUUAACCUUAAAAAUGCAAGAGAAACUUAAAGACUAGAGUAUGAUAAGGGUAACGAGAAUUCUCAGUGUAGUGGUGAAAUACGUAGAGAUUGAGAAGAAUACCAGAAGCGAAGGCGCGUUACUGGAUUAUUACUAACAUUGAAAGACGAAAGCUAGGGUAGCGAAUGGGAUUAGAUACCCCAGUAGUCUUAGCUGUAAACGAUGGAGAUUAGAUUUUUUUUAUAUCUAAUAAUAUGCUGCACAUAUAUGAUUAUUAAUUGUAAUUGUUAAUAUUGUGGCUAUAUAAUUUUGUUAUAGCUCGUCGAUUAUAUAUGUUGUAUUAAAUUUAAUGAAAAGAGUCGUAGCUAACGCAUUAAAUCUCCCGCCUGGGAAGUAUACUCGCAAGAGUGAAACUUAAAGGAAUUGACGGGGGCCUGCACAAGCGGUGGAGCAUGUGGUUUAAUUCGAUGCAAAAGAAAAACCUUACCAGAAAUUGACAUACCACGAUUUCGGUCGUUAGUAAUGAAAUUUACUUUUAGUGUACAGGUGGUGCAUGGCCGUCGUCAGCUCGUGUCGUGAGAUGUUGGGUUAAGUUCCGCAACGAGCGCAACCCUUUUUUCUUGUUGUAAUAUAUAAGAUCAAGAAAUACAGCUAGUGAUAAACUAGAGGAAGGCGAGGAUGACGUCAGGUCCGCAUGCCCUUUAUAUUCUGGGCGACACACGUGCUACAAAGAUUGGGAAAAAAUGAAAAUGUUAUAUUUUGUAAGUGGGAUAAUGCUAGUACAAACUAGACUUAACCUUAUUUAAUACAGUAUAGUCAAUCAUUAAACUCAAUCUUUAGUUCGGAUUCAUUUCUGCAACUCGAAAUGAUGAAGUUGGAAUCGCUAGUAAUCGUUAGUCAGCCAUAUAACGGUGAAUGUGUUCUCGGGCCUUGUACACACCGCCCGGUC
rnacentral:rRNA from 1 species